rnacentral:lncRNA from 1 species
GGGGGGUAAGGAGACUCACUUUACCCCCCACCCCCUUUUAAGCCACCCACCACCAGCGGGCGACCCGAUUCUCCCAGCAGAGGGCAGCAUUUUCCCACACCAGCCACCUCGAAGAGCCGUUCCCACUUCGACGGUCGACGUUUCUCCUAAUCCAAAAGUAAAUGAGAAACUUAGAGAAAGAUUGCCAAUCCCAAAUCAACACACUUACAGAGAAUUGGAAAAGAAGAAGAUUUACGGCUUCAUUUGAGGACUUUUGUAAAGAACUCGGGUUCCAAUAUGAGCUCUAAAAUCUUGGAGCGAGAGCUGGCGGCAGUGCCAGAUCAAACAAGUUCAGGAGGACGACUGGAGGACUGGUUAAAAGAUCCGCCCCGCUGCCACCCGAAAGUAGAGAUUCCACAGGAAAAGCAAAAUCCUCAUCUGGCCCGAACGUGGAAAGCCGCUCCAGCCACGUGA